rnacentral:rRNA from 1 species
CCUACGGGAGGCAGCAGUGGGGAAUAUUGCACAAUGGGCGCAAGCCUGAUGCAGCGACGCCGCGUGAGGGAUGACGGCCUUCGGGUUGUAAACCUCUGUUAGCAGGGAAGAAGAGAAAUUGACGGUACCUGCAGAGAAAGCGCCGGCUAACUACGUGCCAGCAGCCGCGGUAAUACGUAGGGCGCGAGCGUUGUCCGGAAUUAUUGGGCGUAAAGAGCUUGUAGGCGGUUUGUCGCGUCUGCUGUGAAAGGCCGGGGCUUAACCCCGUGUAUUGCAGUGGGUACGGGCAGACUAGAGUGCAGUAGGGGAGACUGGAAUUCCUGGUGUAGCGGUGGAAUGCGCAGAUAUCAGGAGGAACACCGAUGGCGAAGGCAGGUCUCUGGGCUGUAACUGACGCUGAGAAGCGAAAGCAUGGGGAGCGAACAGGAUUAGAUACCCCAGUAGUC